UACAGAGGGGGCAAGCGUUGUUCGGAAUUACUGGGCGUAAAGGGCGCGUAGGCGGCCUGCUAAGUCGAACGUGAAAUCCCUGGGCUCAACCCAGGAACUGCGUCCGAUACUGGUUGGCUUGAAUCCGGGAGAGGGAUGUGGAAUUCCAGGUGUAGCGGUGAAAUGCGUAGAUAUCUGGAGGAACACCGGUGGCGAAGGCGGCUUUCUGGACAAAUACCGACGCUGAGGCACGAAAGCUAGGGGAGCAAACAGG
rnacentral:rRNA from 1 species